ensembl:ncRNA ZK836.12 ncRNA
ACAAGUGACUUUUUCUGAAUAGCUAGUACUCACUGUCAGCUCAAAAAGUUAUACUAUGACAUGAUGAAGAGUAUCAAUUUACAGAGAUUUCGUGUGGUCCGAAAAAAGACUUGAAAGAGAGGUAUGUGCAAACAUUGUUGCAUACGUAUUAUUAUUAUUA